GAUGAACGCUGGCGGCGUGCCUAAUACAUGCAAGUCGAGCGAACAGACGAGAGUGCUUGCACUCUCUGACGUUAGCGGCGGACGGGUGAGUAACACGUGGGUAACCUACCUAUAAGACUGGGAUAACUUCGGGAAACCGGAGCUAAUACCGGAUAAUAUUUAGCUUCGCAUGAAGCAAUAGUGAAAGACGGUUCUGCUGUCACUUAUAGAUGGACCCGCGGUGUAUUAGCUAGUUGGUGAGGUAACGGCUCACCAAGGCAACGAUACAUAGCCGACCUGAGAGGGUGAUCGGCCACACUGGGACUGAGACACGGCCCAGACUCCUACGGGAGGCAGCAGUAGGGAAUCUUCCGCGAUGGACGAAAGUCUGACGGAGCAAUGCCGCGUGAGUGAAGAAGGUUUUCGGAUCGUAAAACUCUGUUGUAAGGGAAGAACAAGUACGUUAGUAACUGAACGUACCUUGACGGUACCUUACCAGAAAGCCACGGCUAACUACG
rnacentral:rRNA from 1 species